UGGUUCAGUGACAAUAGGAAACACCACAUCAAUCUGGUGCGUCAUUGUGAUGCAUGUUUAAUUAAAGAAAAACUUGUUACACAGCAGAGAGGCGAAGCUUUAGAUUUAAUCCUUUCACACAGUGGAAAACACAGACUCCAUUUAAACAAAUGACAACAGUGAGACUUUACUUUGAUAAUGCUUCAUUUCAGGGUUGAAGGUGUAUGAUACAAUAAGAUUUUUAAAAAGUCAUAAAAUAUUUGAAUAUAUAUUUGUUUGUUGUAUCAUAUAUAAACAAAUAUAUCAUAUAACACAGCUUGUGUAUAUUUAGACUAAUAUCAUUUAUCAGAUAUGACAAUCAGUUGAGAAAGUUUUUCCUUUCAUUACAGUGACUGAUAAUAUUAUCCUGCGGAUGACAUCAGCCCGGGUGUGAAAAUCGCUUCAAUCGAGCAAAUCAGAGAUUCAACAGUGAUUUCUUUGUUUUUAUUUCAUUUUUGAAAAAAAGAGCUGCAAACAUGAACAAAAAAGCUAACGUGUUUGAAACAUAUAUUAAAUAUGUGUCACUAAUUCAAAAUCUGUCUAAACCUUUAAAAAGAUCAGAUGACAGUGCACUCACCACACAGGUCUAUCAAAAUAACAGUCCCAUGUGAUUUUUUAUGUGUGGCAAAGCAUAAAACAUAUACACCACAUAUUAAAAUAAAAAAAUACCUCCUAGAAAAAAAAGUUCACAAAGUAUCUGAUGUUGUCUUAGCUUCUUUAAAAAUGUUACAAUGCAAGGCUCACUAAAUAAAAGAAAGAUAAAAAAGAAAAACUAUUAGACUCUUGUAACUUCUUUUGCUUAUCAGCUAAUGUUACAGUGUUUCUCAAACAGUGGGGCAGGGCACUAGAGUGGCCAGUUGAGAGGGGGAGGGGAUAAACAGACAGUUUGUGGUAGCACUUAAUAAUAAUGUUGCACUAUUAAGCAUUAUUAAGGUAUUAGCAAGUGCUUAAUUCAUCAUUUAUGAAGCAUUACUUAGUAUGCCAUUUAUAAAUACACAUAUUAUUAUGACUGUGAUUAUUGUUAGCAGUGAUGUAUGUGGUAGCAGUGUUAGCUAUACAAGGGUAACAGUAACAGAAGGAUAAACAUUUGUGUAUAUAAAUGACAUACCAAGGCAGAUAAUGCUAUAUAAAUGAUGAAUUUGCUAUAUUAAUGCUUAAUAGUGUGACAUUAUUAUAAAGUGUUGCUGAAGUUGCUAAUGCUACAAAUGCUAAUCUGAAGCUUAUUUUAAGUCAAAUUCAGCGUAGAUAUUUCUUAUUCUUAAUGAACGUUAAACUUUUGUGGGAUUUGUGGCACAGUAGAAAGAGGCUUGAGACCCACUGGAUUAAAAGAUGGAUGUCACUCUCAUGUCUGCACCAUCAAUAUGAAGCUGCAGCCAGCCGCUAGUUAGUUUAUCAGCGUAACAUAGAGAGGACAGGAAAUCACAAAAACAUACCAUAAUCAACAUCUUAUAUUUCAUUUGUGUCGAAAGAGUCCAUUUGUAACCCAUCAUUCAGGUUUGUUUGUUUUUUUUCACACAAUACACUGUGAGGCACAAAAGUGAUGAUCAGAUCUUUGUGCACAUUUCAAAGAUGUGAUAAAAUGUGUUUGGUUUUUUCAGCUACACUUCAAAACUAUUUAAAACUCCCUGCACUUCCUGUUUGCUUGACACAUUUACUACAUAGCGCUUCAGGAAUAUAUGCAGAGCACCACAGACGACAGGAAGUGUGCAGAGACCACAGCAGCAGAUCUGAAUUAAAACAGUCUGCGAGUAUUCGACAGUGUUCAAAAAACCAUUUUGUCACAGCUGACGUGCAGCUCGUAGUUAAAACAUGAUACUCGUUUAUUCCAUAAACCGACGGUUUCUAUUAAACAAGCAUAAUAAUCAAGGGGCUAACAAGGACUGCUGUUCACCUGUGUGAGCUAUCCUAAGGCAGAUACAUGAGAGUGACAUCAGUCUCCUCAUUCACAAUUAUUCUAUUCAAGGCACAGAAACAAUGUUUUUUGUUAUCUAAAAAGGGAAAAUCCAAAUGAUGAAUGUAAACUAAACUUAGAUAUGUUUCAUAAUAACCUGCGCUACACAGACCUGAUGAGAGCACAUCUUCAGGCCAGGGUCAACUGAAAAGCUUCUCCAGUGGCAUCGUGCACACACCACAUGCAGUUUUUAGUGUGUGCAUUCAUAAACAGGAGUGCAGAUCAGCAGUCAGGUCCUCUGAUGGGCUCCCAUCAGCAUCUCAUCUGCGUGUGCAUUCACAGCAAACAAGUUGUCUGAUCUGUGACACUUUUAAUUAAGAAAAUGUGUUAAUGUCCCUUUCUUUGAUGCUUAUGUUAAUUUGUUUGGAUAGAGAAUAGGGAAACACACAAACAAAUAAGAACAUCGGUCAAAUACAGUCAGUGCAAAUACAGCUGGCAUUUCAUCCUCCAUCCAUCCUCCUAUUGGGUAGAGCAUCUCUGUUUCCAGUUCUUUUUCGUUCCUUUCGUUUUUGGGACCAUCGCUCUCACCUUCUCUGUCAGCUGGUUGAACACAAAGAUAUUUAACAUUGAUGUGUGGUGAGCUGUCAACGUGCCCCAUCAAGUUAGUAAUUCAACACAUCCUGUUCUAGAAAGCAGGUUUAGUGAGAACUCUGAGUUUGUUAACCCUGAUUAUGAGAAAAAACCUCUUGGUUUUCAGUUCCAGAAAUAACCCAUGGGUCAGUUACCACAGUAACAGAGUCUGUGACGCUCGUCUGCUCACUUCAACAAAGCCUGAGUUUCUCUCUAAGCCCUCCCUUCCUGCAGAUGACUGACACAGCUUCACUUCCUCAAUCAUACAGUCGACAUCAAAGUUCACACAGCUGGGGGUUCAUUUGUGACCCCAGUCGAGUAUCUACAAAUGCAGCGCUACAGUUGAUUUGUCAGCCUACUUUGCCUGCAACAUUUUACAGAAGUUGUAAAGAAAAGAAAAAGAAAAAAGUUUAUUUAGUUUAAAUUUUGUUUCAUUGUGAGCAAGUUUUUUAACUAAAGAGUCGGGACGGUUGUGUGUUAUUGCAGCUAAAACAUAAUAUACGAGUUGGUUAAAUAAAAUAAAAACAAAAAAACAAUAUCAUAGAAGAAAACACACUGAAGAGGGAGUUCAGUUAACUGACAUCUGAUGACCUCCCUGUACCCAUGAUGACGAGCUCUGACAUCUCCGGAAAUCUUAAUGAAAGUGUGGUUUGAUAAUCAUUCAAAUAGUUCCAAGUUUUUUCAAGGGCAGCUGCAAAGGCAUACACCCUACUUACUAACUUUUAAUGCAACUCUAUAAGCAGAAAUAUGACAGAAACUCCUCAGUUCAGGACAAAAACUUGAAGGGUUACGCCCUGUAGGCUUUUAAGGGGUGAAGAGUUCAACAGAAACUACAAAAGGGUGAAGAAUUCAAAAAGUCGAAACAUAAAUAUGAUAAAAUAAAAAGCUAUUAGUUUGUUGUUAAUCAAAUUAUUAUAAAGUAUUAUAAGUUUGCAGGCAGCAACAAAGGGCCUCUAUUACUGCAAUACAUAACUCAGAACAAUUUUAAAAUCUACAUUUUUAAAAUAAGAAAAAACUACGAGGAUUACAGAGAUGAAUGUACAUUUGUGUGGGUUUUAAAAUCUCUUUUAAUAGAAAUAAGUCAAAACCAUUUCAGAAUCUCUCUCAUAUAGAAACAAAGUAACAAGUGUGAUAAAUGUGAACAGAACGAGGGAUAAAAUUAAUAUUGAGCAGAAUGAUAGUCGCUAAAAAUAUUUAUAUUUAAAGUGCAUUGAGUGCGCAAGUAGAGUAGGACAGUGCUAUUUACUGUUGACCAAAUUAGCUUCUUCCGUUGAGGCUUAACACCUCCACAAACUGUAAACCCAGUUAUCCAGUUAUGUAUUUGCUAUUUGUUACAUUUCUUUUUUUUAACCAGUCU
ensembl:lncRNA